rnacentral:misc_RNA from 1 species
AAGUCGUAACAAGGUUUCCGUAGGUGAACCUGCGGAAGGAUCAUUAAUGAUUUUUUAAGCAUACCAAGCUUUUUCUAUAAAAAGUGAGGUUUUGCGAAUGUAUUUAAAACCCCCACUCUUAAAAAAUUAUAUAUUUCAUUCAUAUAAAAUGAAUAAAAAAAAGAUCACUUUCAACAACGGAUCUCUUGGCUCUC